CCGUGAUAUUUUCCCUGCCUUACAUAGGUUUAUACAUGAUGACUGGUACAUGAGCAUCCUAAUUAUCACUAAUUAUUUUGGUGGUCAAACCAAUUGUGUGUAGCCAUGUACUAAACCUGGUAUUUCCUCAUAUCAGUGUGUAAAUAAGCGAAUUUUAACAUUCCCCAAAAUUUGCUGCAUGCCUUUACUAAAUCAGUGGUAUUUACUAGGCUAUUGGAUUUUAUGUUAUUUUAAUUUUUUGCAUUCACUACAAUAUUAUUUUUCUGCAUUUCGGCUUACUUGUGUUAUAGGUAUUAAUUUGUGAUCUUAUAUUUAUUUAUUGUGGUUCCUAUGUUUCUUGAUAGGUGCAUGAUGCAUGUGUCUGCUAUCUUGAAUAUCAGUGAGAAUUGUAUGUCCGCAAGGUUUUCUUAUUCGAUAAUUCCAUCUGGUGUUUGAUUUUGAGAUGCGAAGCUCCGUUAUGUUGCCUCAUCUUAUAUUUUUUCCUUCCUGUGUACUUGUCUGCUGGUCUCAUUUUGGAAUGUCUCAUGUCCUUGUAUUUGUUGCCCCUUCAGGUACCAACUUUAUGCUCAGAUUUUUUUACCUUUGGUUUUCAUAUUUUAGUUUUCUCUAAUGGCUUGAACUCCUCGCCUUUGCAUAGGUUGAGUUGUUUAUUCAUAACUAUGUGACAGUAUUUGGAUAAUUUGACCACCUUUAUAUUUUUCUAAUCACCAUUACUUCACAGAUAUCAUGAUCAAGAAGUGAACUCUCAAAAGGCAUUCUGAUUUGCAAAUGUCCUCUCUUGAAAAAUUCUUAUGGUAAUUUGGUCAUUCUAGGUGCAGGAAGAGUAGUGUUCUCAAGCUAUUAAGAUUGUUUCCUUUAAAUGGUAAUUGUUAUAUGGUUUUAUUUUCUAAUUGAUCAGAUAAAUAGGUUGUAUACUGAAGGGGUGAGAUCAGGUGUCUUCCCUGUUUAUGUACUAUUGUGAGUGACUUCAUUCUUUUUGGAGCUCUCUUGGACAAACAAUUAGAGAUCAAGAAUAUGUUCUCGUGAAAACAUUGUUUCCUGACAUGUAGGUCAUUACAACCAUGUAUAUCAAUAUUUCCACUUACGAAUUAUGUAUGUUAGCCAACGGAUCACUAGAGGUGGGUGUUCAAGAUCUCAAUAGUCGCUUGGGGCCAUUCAAUACGUAGUAGUAGUUUGGACAUUGUGGACUUCUUGAGUCAAAUGCUCUUUAUGGAAAGUAUAGAAACAUGGAAAUUUAGAAGGGUAUUUGGAAGGGUGGUUCCAGCUGCAGCUUACAUGUCACUGGGCUUGCAAUGCUCAAUGCAUCCGAAUUAUUUUGCUUCAGGUUUAAACCAUAGCAUUCUCUCCGUCAUAUACAUCAUUCUAUUGGAGAAGUCCCAGUCUACUUCCUUCGAGCAAGCAGUGUAUAGGUUGUUGACCUUAGUUCAUAGUAAGACAUGUUUAUUAAUGAAGAUUUACAUAUUGUUUCACUGACAUGUAUUAAUAAAGAUUUACAUAUUGUUUCGUCCAUCGGAUAGUCUUCCAUUUGA